rnacentral:lncRNA from 1 species
CAACCUCAGCAGACUGUCAGCUUUUUAUGGGUGGUUAAGCCUGUUCUGCCAGCCAUCUGAACUCCUUUGGGGAGGGCUUCAUCUCUCCCUGCCUAGGGGUCUCUAUCCCUACAGGGCAAGAGGCUUUUCUAUUACAUGGAGACUCAGGUUAUGGAACCCCAAGACAUGAGCUCACUUCCUUGGCAACAUCUCCAAACAGAACUUGGAACCCUAGUUAAUGGGUGUCACAAUCUUGUAACAGCCAUCUCCCAAGCUCACUUGGCCAGAGAUGGUCAACAGCGAACAUGCUGAGCUGCUUCUCCACUUCAAGAGGCUGCAGCCUCAGGAUCCCAGGUAGAGAAAGUAUCUGUGAAAGAUUAAGAAGAUGGCUGACAACAUCCAGAUGCCACAGGCCACACUGCAGCUGUCGCACAAUUGUCACAGACACCCCAGGGAUGGUCUCACCAGGAGUGACUGCCAGUGACCUACCAAAAUCAAGGCACCUCCACCACCCACACCUCUACCUGAUCGGCCCUGAUUUUGGGAAGAGACAUCAUGACAAGAUCUCUUGAGAAUUCCAUCCCCUUUGAGGGCCUGUGUGAUAAAGAUCAAGAUGUGUGGUGUUUGGACAAUAAAGAGUUUUUCAUUACACACUGGCUAGAGGGGGUAUGGAUGCUUGGACAUCAGGGAUUGAACCAUCCUUGAUUGCUGAAGCACUAGGGAAGAAAGCUGGGAAAGGCUCCCAGGAGCCUCUGAGAGCUGCAAACUUGACUUCUGUAAGCCUCAAGUCAGCCCCAAUAAUCCUUCUGAAGAUUUCUUCUCAUUAUUAUUGUUUCUUCUCAAAUAACUCAUAAUUGUAAAAACAGGAGCUGCUGAGUGUGGUGGUACAUGCCUGUAAUCCUAGAACUUGGGAGGCUGAGGCAGGAGGACUGCUCCAAGUUCAAGGCCAGCCUAGAUUGUAUACUGAGUUUAAGGCCAGCCUGAAUUACACAGCAAGACUCUGACUCAAAAAACAAAACAAAAAAAACAAGGUGAUUUUUCUUCCCAUUGCCUUAUCUGUAAAACAUCUCUUCCCAAGUGCCAGGGAAACAAAAUAUGAUAGAUGACAGAACUGUAUUAUAACUAGAGAUUAGUCCCCCAGAGGGACUAUGAAGGCAAUGUGUCAGCACUGCUUACGUGGGCACUGGGGCAGCACAGAUCUGGCAUGGGGCAGGCAGAUGUCCUCUGGCAUUAGCUCACAUGAGGUCUUCCAGGAGCUUCUCAGGAAAAAAGGUUUUCUUACCCUGUAGCCCUGCUUUUUGCAAGAGGCCUGGUAUAGAAGCUUCCCAGGGGCUCUGUUCCUGUAUUAGUCAGCUUUCUAUUGUGCAAAACACCUGAGACAAGCAACUUAUAAGGAAGAAAGUUUUGUUUGG